GAUGAAGAACGUAGCGAAAUGCGAUAAGUAAUGCGAAUUGCAGAAUUCAGUGAAUCAUCGAGUCUUUGAACGCACAUUGCGCCCCCUGGUAUUCCGGGGGGCAUGCCUGUCCGAGCGUCAUUGCUGCCCUCAAGCACGGCUUGUGUGUUGGGCUCCGUCCCCCCGGGGACGGGCCCGAAAGGCAGCGGCGGCACCGAGUCCGGUCCUCGAGCGUAUGGGGCUUUGUCACCCGCUCUGUAGGCCCGGCCGGCGCCAGCCGACAACCCAUCAUCCUUUUCAGGUUGACCUCGGAUCAGGUAGGGAUACCCGCUGAACUUAAGCAUAUCAAUAAGCGGAGGA
rnacentral:misc_RNA from 1 species